rnacentral:rRNA from 1 species
CCUACGGGGGGCAGCAGUGGGGAAUAUUGCACAAUGGGGGAAACCCUGAUGCAGCGACGUCGCGUGAGUGAAGACGUCCCUCGGUGUGUUAAGCUCUAUUAGCAGGGAAGAAAAUGACGGUACCUGUGUAAGAAGCCCCGGCUCACUACGUGCCAGCAGCCGCGGUAACCUGUACGGGGCAAGCGGUAUCCGGAAUUACUGGGUGUUAAGGGGGCGUAGGAGGGAGCACAAGUCGGGCGUGAAAGGUCGGGGCUUAACCACGGAACUGCUGUGGAAACUGGGCAGCUGGAGUGCAGGAGAGGUAGGCGGAAUGCCUGGUGUAGCGGUGAAAUGCGUAGAUAUUAGGCAGAACUCCGGUGGCGAAGGCAGCAUACUGGAGUGUAACUGACGUUGAGGCUCGAAAGCGUGGGGAGCGAACAGGAUUAGAUACCCCUGUAGUC